rnacentral:lncRNA from 10 species
UAUUUCUUGAUGAUAUGCUAAACAAGGGGUGGAUUAUGUAUGCCUCUCCUUUUUAGACCAUAUAGGGUAACUUCCUGACAUUGCCACGGCAUUUGGAAACUGUCCUGGCGUUGGUCAGAGUGUAGCAGUGAGAAUGACCAGAGGUCAUCGCCGUCUUGGUUUUGGGGGCUUUAGCUGGCUUCUUUACUGCAACCUGUUUUAUCAGCGAGGUCUUUAUGAUCUGUAUCUUGUGCUGACCUCCUAUCUUAUCCUAUGACUCAGAAUGCCUUAACCAUCUGGGAAUGCAGCCCAGUAGGUCUCAGCCUCAUUUUACCCAGCUUCUAUUCAAGAUGGAGUUGCUCUAGUUCACAUGUCUCUGACACUGUGAUUACUUUCUUCCCUUUCCACCCCACUAACUCAGUUGACUCUUUAGAAGAAUUGUUUAUGAGCUGAUGUAACUUUCUAGAAUUUGCGCCUUGUCAAAUUAUCUUUUAUCUGUGUAUCUUUAGUAACGUGCACAGAAUUUUUCAUACAGCAGGCAGUCAAUAAUGUUUUAAUUAAAAAUUUAAACAUGCUCCUAGGAUCAAGAUUUUCCAAUAAACUGUAUAUUUUGGCUUAAGUUUCAGGUUAAACAUAGCGAAGCAAGGACAAUAGAAAAUUUAAUUAGGUAGGGCAAAUUACUCAAUACAAUAAUUUUUAAUAAUCUUUUUGUGAUAUGUGGAAAGACAAUUCAUUCUUGUGAUUAGCACUGAAAGUAUCCUUCUAUCACUGGGGACCAUGCUUACCAUUGAAACGGGAGAGUUCCCGUCCCCCUCGCAGGGUGUGUGACAGGGAUAUGGCUUGCUCCUUAGGUGCCCCACUGCCUAAACCCCUAGGGGAAGCAUGAAGAUGGGCAGGUGCUGAGGCCCUGGAGAGAGCUUUUGGGCUCCGACCCCACAGCAGUAUCUAGGACUACUCCUGAAGCCCAAGUGGGCGUGUGUUACAGUGUGCUCUUUCAGCUUUGCCAUCUGCAGAUGGCUGGCGUUAAUCAGCUCAAUAGAUGCUCUGCCUUAUUGCAAGGACAGGGGGCCAGUGUGACAGCCUGGGUUCUUGCCCAGUGAACCAGAAGAAUCGGAAUACAGGUGGGCUUGGAGGAUGAGUGCAAGGUUUUAUUGAGUGGUGGAGGUGGCUCUCAGAGACAUGGAUGGGGAACCAGAGAUGGGGAAUGGAGUGGGAAGGUGUUCUUCCCCUGGAAUCUGGCUGUUCUCAGCCAAUGUUCAGUUGCUUCUUCCCUCCUUCUCUACCAUGCCAGCACACUGCUCUCCACUGCUCUAUGCCACUCUGUUCCUCUGCUCCUCUCGAUAUUCAACCACUUGUGUCUGUGCUUGGUAAGGUCUCGGGUUUUUAUGGGCACAGAAUGGUAGGUGUGGUAGGUCAGAGUGGUCUUGGAAAAUACAACAUCUGGGCAUGAAAACACGAGUGCCAGUUCUUGCUUAGGUCCAUGGGCAUAGGCCCGAGGGUGGAGCCCUCGCCAGGUACCCUGCUUUUCUCUACCCAGCACUUCCCUGCUUCCUGUCCAUAUCACCAUGGCUUGUAAAGCCUUCAAGCCAUGGGAUCUGGCUACUUCUUUCCAGACUCAAGUCUUCUAGCUCCGCUACAAACACACCAGCAUGUCUUUCUGUUUCUGAAAUGCACCAUGGUGUGGUAAAUCCAAAUGUAUCUGCGACAAGUUUCAGUCAAUUUAGAAGCUGACUUUGCCCAGGUUAAGCACAUGCCCGUGAAACAGUCUCAGUAGGUCCUGACAACAUGUGCCCAGGGUGCUCAGGCUACAGCAUUCCAGUAUGAUUUCAUACUUUUUUUUUUUAAUUAUGCUUUAAAUUCUAGGGUACAUGUGCACAACGUGCAGGUUUGAUACAUAGGUAUACAUGUGCCAUGUUGGUUUGCUGCACCCAUAAAAUCAUCAUUUACAUUAGGUAUUUCUCCUAAUGCUAUCCCUCCCCCAUCCCCCACCCUGCAACAGGCCACUGUGUGUGAUGUUCCUGCCCUGUGUCCAAGUGAUCUCAUUGUUCAAUUCCCGCCUAUGAGUGAGAACACGCGGUGUUUGGUUUUCUGUCAUUUUAAGGAGACCAAGACGUCAAUCAGUCAAUCAAUACAUGUAAGAUGUACAUUGGUUUGGUCCAGAAAGACAGGACAACUCUUAGCAGGGGCUUCCAAGUCAUGGGUGGUUUCAAACAUUUUCUGAUUGGCAGAUGGUUGAAAGAAUUUAUCUAAAGACCUGGAAUCCACAGAACGGAGUGUCUGGGUUAAGAUAAAAUGUUGUGGAGACCAAAAUUUUUAUUAUUAUGCAGAUGAACCCCCCAGGUAGCAGGCUUCAGAGAGAAUCCAUUGUGAAUGCUUCUUAGACUUAAAAGAGUGUCAGACUCUUAGAUAAUUCUCUCCUGGAUCAGGAAAAACACCUGAAAAGGAAAGGGGAUUCUCUACAGAAUAUAUAUGUUACCCAUAAGGGCAGCUUUAUGGGGUGAUUUCAAAAUAUGGCAAAGAAAUAUACUUCGGGGUAAAAUACUUUGAUUUCUUUCAGGGCCUGUUAAAUGUUAUAUUGGUAUCUUACUGCUAAAAGGAGGCUGUUUUGUCAAUCUUUAGCCCCGCCCACAGCUUCAACAGAGCAUAAAAAAACAGCCAGCACUAUUCCAACCUCUUCCUAAUAAAAUCUUGCUUCAAAGCACACUUAUCCCCCCGGACCUUUAAAAAAGCCUCAGGCAGGCCUGGCACGGUGGCUCACACCUGUAUCCCCAACACUUUGGGAGGCCGAGGCUGGUGGAUCACUGGAGGUCAGGAGUUCGAGUCCAGCCUGGCCAACACGGCGAAACCCCGCCUCUACUAAAAAAUACAAAAAUUAGCCGGGUGUGGUGGCAGGCGCCUGUAAUCCCAGCUACUCGGGGGGCUGAGGCAGGAGAAUCACUUGAACCUGGGAGGCACAGGUUGCAGUGAAUCGAGAUUGUGCCACUGCACUCCAGCCUGGGUGACAAGAGGGAGACUCCGUCAAAAACAAACAAACAAAAAGCCUCAGGCUGUAAGAGAAGUUUGAUCCUGACCCUGCUGGCCAAAAGCCCUUCUCAGGUUUAUUCUCAAUAAACCUGUCUUUAAUUGUUAAACUGUUAAACUGCCUUCUUGCCUCUUCUUUCCUUAAUCUUUCUAUCUCAACAUUUGUGUCAAAACCUGGGAUAGGUGUUGGGGCAGGGAACUCUCUUGCAACCGAGGAAGCAAUGGGCAGCGGCAGCUGGUCCCGGGCUAACUCCUGGAUCCUGAGGGUUCUCUGGCUUCCUGUUCCCUCCUUCAACCCUUCCUCUCUUUUCCGUAAGCGAAUUGCGUGUGUUAACUGACUGACCCGAGAGGACUGCAAGGUUCUGGCCAGGGAUACUCCCCGAUGGGUUUUCAAAAUCCCCGGACCCAGAAUUUUGCCACCAACCACCCAAUCUGGGUAAUUCGCUUUCUUUCUUUCUUUUUUUUUUUGAGACGGAGUCCCGCUCUGUUCCCCAGGCUGGAGUGCAGUGGCGCGAUCUAG